GCGUGACCUGAUAGACAACACCUUUAUUCUAAAAGCAUAACAACAUACCAUUGCGCUGGAUCGCCGGAAGCUAACUAACGCAUCUUUUUUACAAUUUGAAAAGAGCAACUCACUUUUUGAUAUGUAGAUAACGUAGUUUGGAACCAGAAGCACGGGUAAUCAGUGUGGAAUCGAUUUCAAGGGUUGUGUAACUAACAGAUUGUGUCUAAAUCAGGAGAGGAUCAUAAAACCAAAGCUGUUGAUUCAAUCGACUUCUAGCGUUGUGUAAGAACUGUGGCAGAGCCAGGAGAGAAGCUUAAAGCCAAAGGACAGUCGUAGAUGGCAUCGU